GCCUCGUUAGCGCAGGCGGUAGCGCGUCAGUCUAGUAAACUGAAGCUCGUGAGUUCAACCCUCACACGGGGCU